rnacentral:rRNA from 1 species
GAUGAACGCUGGCGGCGUGCCUAAUACAUGCAAGUCGAGCGAACGGACGAGAAGCUUGCUUCUCUGAUGUUAGCGGCGGACGGGUGAGUAACACGUGGAUAACCUACCUAUAAGACUGGGAUAACUUCGGGAAACCGGAGCUAAUACCGGAUGAUAUUUUGAGCCGCAUGGUUCAAAAGUGAAAGACGGUCUUGCUGUCACUUAUAGAUGGAUCCGCGCUGCAUUAGCUAGUUGGUAAGGUAACGGCUUACCAAGGCAACGACGCAUAGCCGACCUGAGAGGGUGAUCGGCCACACUGGAACUGAGACACGGUCCAGACUCCUACGGGAGGCAGCAGUAGGGAAUCUUCCGCAAUGGGCGAAAGCCUGACGGAGCAACGCCGCGUGAGUGAUGAAGGUCUUCGGAUCGUAAAACUCUGUUAUUAGGGAAGAACAUAUGUGUAAGUAACUGUGCACAUCUUGACGGUACCUAAUCAGAAAGCCACGGCUAACUACGUG